rnacentral:rRNA from 1 species
UACAGAGGUCUCAAGCGUUGUUCGGAUUCAUUGGGCGUAAAGGGUGUGUAGGUGGCGCGCUAAGUCGGAUGUGAAAUCUUGGAGCUUAACUCCGAAACUGCAUUCGAUACUGCCGUGCUUGAGGACUGGAGAGGAGACUGGAAUUCAUGGUGUAGCAGUGAAAUGCGUAGAGAUCAUGAGGAAGACCAGUGGCGAAGGCGGGUCUCUGGACAGUUCCUGACGCUGAGGCACGAAGGCCAGGGGAGCAAACGGG